rnacentral:rRNA from 1 species
UACGGAGGGUGCGAGCGUUGUCCGGAAUCAUUGGGCGUAAAGGGCGCGUAGGUGGCCCGGUGAGUCUUUGGUGAAAGCGCGGGGCUCAACCCUGCGUCGGCCAGGGAUACUGCCGCGGCUCGAGCACUGUAGAGGCAGGCGGAAUUCCGGGUGUAGCGGUGGAAUGCGUAGAGAUCCGGAAGAACACCGAUGGCGAAGGCAGGUCUCUGGGCAUUAACUGACGCUGAGGAGCGAAAGCAUGGGGAGCGAACAGG